AAUAAGAUGGCUGAAUUUUAGGUGUUAAACUGUAAAUUUAAAUAUGGGUAAACCUCUUAUUA
rnacentral:tRNA from 1 species